rnacentral:tRNA from 15 species
GCGGGAGUAGUUUAAUGGUAGAACCUUAGCCUUCCAAGCUAAUGACACGGGUUCGAUUCCCGUUUCCCGCUCCA